rnacentral:lncRNA from 1 species
CGGACACGAAGGAGCGCUCGCCUCAGAAGGGAUGUCACAAUUUCCUGAGACGGAGGCAUCUCUGCACCACAAAGGAGACUGCGGCACUAUGCAGCCUGAACAGCACGACAAAGCAUCUGAUCUGCCUGCUUUGACAAGAUGUGGCUGGGCCUGCAGAAAGAGUGUAAGCACACUACUGUGUUGCUGAUCAGUGCUGGUGCUGAUCUCUACGUCUGAGUUGGCCUCACAACGUCCAGGCGCCACUGUGCUUUGCUUCAUUGACAAGGUGUGGCUGGGCCUGCAGAAAAGCUGUAAGCAGACUGCAGUGUUGCUGAUCAGUGCUGAUCUCCACGUCCGAGUUGGUCCCACAAUAUCCAGGCACCACGGUGCUUUCACAAGGUUCACAAUCGAAAUGGGUUAUUUAUUUGUGCUAGUAAGUGGAUGUGGGUAAACCAAGCCAAAACGGACAGCACGUUUGCCUGGGAGAUUGCCCGAUGCUUGUGGCAGGCACAGGAAUUAAUCCACAGGAGUGUUACGAGCAAAAGUAUGUAUGCGAAAGCUAAAGGAAGGUGGCGAGGCCAAGCCAGCGUUGACACCACAAAAUCUUGGUGCAUAUCUAAGUAAGUAGACCCUGUCCUGCUAGCUC